GAUCGUACGAUACUGAUAGAAUCUGAGUGUCUUAAUGCUGAGGAUUGUCCGUCCGAUACUGAUCGAAUCUGGGUGUCUUAAUGCUGAGGAUCAUCCGAUACUGAUCGAAUCUGAGUGUCUUAAUGCUGAGGAUCGUCCGAUACUGAUCAAAUCUGAGUGUCUUAAUGCUGAGGAUCAUCUGAUACUGACCUAAUCUGAGUGUUUUAAUGCUGAGGAUCGUCCGAUACUGAUCAAAUCUGAGUGUCUUAAUGCUGAGGAUCGUCCGAUACUGAUUAAAUCUGAGUGUCUCAAUGCUGAGGUUCAUCUGAUACUGACCUAAGCUGAGUGUUUUAAUGCUGCGGACUGGCCGAUAGCAAUCAAAUCUGAGUAUCAUAAUGAUGAGGAUUGAAUACAAUAGCUAAGACAUCUAAAGGAUUUAAUGAAAUGCAGUAAAUGUGUGUGUGACAUCAUUC